GACGAACGCUGGCGGCGUGCUUAACACAUGCCAGUCGAACGGAAAGGCCUCGUUCGGGGGGUACUCGAGUGGCGAAAGGGGGAGUAACACGUGAGUAACCUGCCCUUUACUUUGGGGUAACUUCAGAAAACUGGGGCUAAUACAGGAGAGGAGCUCCUGCUGCGUGGGGGGGGGGGGGGAGUGUCGGCGGGUGGGGGUGGACUCGCGGCGUAUCAGCUUGUUGGUGGGGUAGUGGCUUACCAAGGCGUUGACGGGUAGCCGGGCUGAGAGGGUGACCGGCCACAUUGGGAAUGAGGUACGGCCCAGACUCCUACGGGGGGCAGCAGGGGGGAAUAUUGCACCAUGGGUGGAAGCCUGAUGCAGCAACGCCGUGUGCGGGAUGACGGCCUUCCGGUUGUAAACCGCUUUCGCUCAUGAAGAAGCUUUGUGUGACGGUAGUGGGUAAAGAAGCACCGGCUAACUACGUG
rnacentral:rRNA from 1 species